UACGGGGGGGGUAAGCGUUGUUCGGAUUUACUGGGCGUAAAGCGCGUGUAGGCGGCCGCGCAAGUCGGGCGUGAAAUCCCACGGCUCAACCGUGGAAGUGCACUCGAAACUGCGCAGCUAGAGUCCUGGAGAGGAAGGUGGAAUGCUUGGUGUAGAGGUGAAAUUCGUAGAUAUCGGGAGGAACACCAGUGGCGAAGGCGGCGACCUGGGCCAAUAUUGACGCUGAGGUGCGAAAGCGUGGGGAGCAAACAGG
rnacentral:rRNA from 1 species